UACGUAGGGGGCAAGCGUUGUCCGGAAUCAUUGGGCGUAGAGAGCGUGUAGGCGGCUUGGUAAGUCCGCUGUGAAAGUCCAGGGCUCAACCCUGGAAAGCCGGUGGAAACUGUCAAGCUUGAGUCCGGAAGAGGCGAGUGGAAUUCCUGGUGUAGCGGUGAAAUGCGCAGAUAUCAGGAGGAACACCAAUGGCGAAGGCAGCUCGCUGGGACGGUACUGACACUGAGACGCGAAAGCGUGGGGAGCAAACAGG
rnacentral:rRNA from 1 species